CGGCCUUGUGGGCGGGCCGCGGCGCGCCGUGCGGUUAGGUUGAGGCUGGCUGCGUGCGUCUAUAACUUUGUGUUGCUGCCCGCGGUUGUUAGGAGGAGGGAUGUGGAGGUCGGCGGCGAGCGGGGCGCCAGGCGGCUGGGGCGGGCUGGGGCGGCAGCGCGGCUGCUCGGCGGCGGCGGGCUCGCCUUUCGGCGGCGGCUGGCCGAGGCGGCGUGCGGCGGGCUGCGCUCGCCGCCUUCGCCUUUAAAGGGGAGGCUCGGCGGAGCCGAAGGCGCAGGAGCGGCAGGAACCAUGCAGCAGCAGCGGCGACAGCAGCAGCGGCAGCAGCGCUGCUUUUUCCUCCCGUGAAUGUGGAUCGCGCUUUCUGCGGGCGUUGGAGGGGGCUGUUGAUCCCCCCCCCCCCCGGCCUCCCUCCCCUCUCGGCGUGGCUCUCGCUGCCUCUCCUGCCUGUGCUUUUUAAAUGACUUGAGUGAAGGGGGGAAAAACUGUCAAGAUGGCAGCAGCAGGAGCAAGGAGGUUAUGAAUGUGGUGUUGAUGCUGGAACAAAACCUAUUCUCUUUGGCAGCCCUAGGCAGGGCUUAGAGCUUCUGGACCUGUUGGAAGACUGGUGAUUUGAUUUGCUCGCGUUGCGUUUGCUUUUUCCCUUCGAGAAGGAUUUUUUUUUAAGCCAGCCAACCCUCAGGGUGGCUUUUCCUCCCUCCUCCCCCCGCUCCGUCGGCUUUGAGAUUUUGGGGGGUUGCUUGUGCGUGGCUCGGGGGGUGCUGCAAAGUGACAGGCUCAUGCUAGUAUGCAGUUGGAUGCCUGCUAAGACUUCGGCUCCUUUUAGGGCGUUUUGAAGAAGGAAAAAGUCUUCGGUGUAACCUGAAGGAGCCCUCUCCCCCCCCUCCUGCCGAGAGAGGGGGGAAAAGGGGAAAAAACCCCAGACCCCGAAGGAAGAUCUCUGCGGAAGCGACGAGGAGCGAGCUCGGAGGUGCCGGGGCGGGGGGUCCUCCCCGGCUGGAAGUAGCCGCGGUCGCCGCCGGAGCUACUCGCGCCGCUGCAUGGAGUGAAACAUAAACAAACACACGCACCGCGGGAGCGGCCGCGCGGCGGGCGCCGCCCGACCCCGCGCCGCCGCUCCGGCCUUUUAUUCCGUUUUUUUUUUUUUUUUCCCCCCGGCCUUCUCCCCGCCCUCCGGCGGCGCCCCGCCCGCGGCAGCGGGGCCCGGGGUGCGCGGCGCGGCGCGGCCCUCGGCGGAGAGCGGCAUGCCCGCCCGGCCGCUCCGCGCCUCCUAGGCUGCCCGCGGCUCCGAGCAGGCGGCCGCCCGCGCCGUCGCAGCGCCGCGGCGCCCCCGCAGAGGCCGCGAUGGCGGAGGCGUCGCCCCCCGGGCCGCUCUCGCCCCUCGACGUGGAGCUGGACCCCGAGUUCGAGCCCCAGAGCCGGCCCCGCUCCUGCACCUGGCCGCUGCAGAGGCCCGAGCUGCAGGCCAGCCCCGCCAAGGCCGGCGGCGAGCCGCCCGCCGACGCCGCCUCCAUGAUCCCCGAGGAGGAGGACGACGACGACGACGGGGGCGGCUCGGCCAUGGCCGUCGGCAGCGCGGCCCCCGCCGGCGGCGAGGCGGCGGCGGCCGUCCCGGAGGAGGCGGCGCGGCUGCUGGCGCCGCUGCCCGCCGGCGGCCCCGAGGGGCCGAGCCCGGCGCCCGGGGGGGCGGCGGGCGGCGGGGGGCUGAGCGGCGGCCCGGCGGCAGCGGCGGCGCCGAGGAAGUGCUCGUCGCGGCGCAACGCGUGGGGCAACCUGUCCUACGCCGACCUCAUCACCCGCGCCAUCGAGAGCUCCCCCGAGAAGCGGCUCACCCUCUCGCAGAUCUACGACUGGAUGGUGCGCUGCGUGCCCUACUUCAAGGACAAGGGCGACAGCAACAGCUCGGCCGGCUGGAAGAAUUCAAUCCGGCACAACUUGUCACUUCACAGCCGAUUCAUCAGAGUGCAGAAUGAAGGCACUGGGAAAAGCUCUUGGUGGAUGAUCAAUCCAGAUGGUGGAAAAGGUGGGAAGGCACCACGGAGACGUGCUGCGUCGAUGGACAAUAGCAACAAGUACACGAAGAGCAGAGGGCGGGCAGCUAAGAAAAAGGCAGCCCUGCAAACUGCCCAAGAGGCAAGUGAGGACAGCCCUUCUCAGCUCUCCAAGUGGCCAGGGAGUCCAACUUCCCGCAGCAGCGAUGAGCUGGAUGCAUGGACAGAUUUUCGCUCCCGUACAAAUUCGAACGCCAGUACGAUAAGUGGCCGCUUGUCACCGAUUUUGGCAAGCACCGAACUAGAUGACGUUCAAGAUGACGAUGCUCCACUUUCUCCCAUGCUGUAUAGUAGUCCAUCGAGCUUGUCCCCAUCAGUGAACAAACCAUGUACUGUGGAGCUACCUAGGUUGACUGAUAUGGCUGGGACAAUGAAUUUGAAUGAUGGACUGACAGAUAACCUCAUGGAUGAUCUCUUGGACAAUAUAACACUCCCUUCCUCCCAGCAGUCACCCACAGGAGGGAUAAUGCAGAGAAGCUCCAGUUUUCCAUAUGGUUCCAAAGGUUCAGGGCUGGGUUCUCCGUCAAGUAGUUUCAACAAUGCCGUAUUCGGGCCGUCGUCCCUGAACUCCCUUCGCCAGUCACCCAUGCAAACCAUUCAGGAGAACAAGCAGGCCACCUUCUCUUCCAUUUCUCAUUAUAACAACCAGACACUGCAGGAUCUGCUUGCCUCUGAUGCACUUAGUCACAGCGAUGUCAUGAUGACACAGUCUGACCCACUCAUGUCACAAGCCAGCACAGCUGUGUCUGCCCAGAAUUCCCGCAGGAAUAUCAUGCUCCGCAAUGACCCCAUGAUGUCGUUUGCCGCGCAGUCCAGCCAGGGUGGUCUGGUCAGUCAGAGCCUGCCCCAUCACCAGCACCAGUCUCACAACUCCUCUCUUAGUGGCAGCCGUGCCUUGUCAAAUUCCAUCAGUAACAUUGGCUUAAAUGACUCAAACAGCUUGGGAUCCACCAAACAUCAGCAGUCACCUGUCAAUCAGUCUAUGCAAACACUUUCUGACCCGCUCUCAGGCUCCUCUUUGUAUUCCUCUAGCGUGAACCUCCCGGUCAUGGGACAUGAGAAAUUCCCAAGUGACUUGGACCUGGAUAUUUUCAAUGGGAGCUUGGAGUGUGACAUGGAGUCCAUUAUCCGCAGUGAACUCAUGGAUGCAGAUGGGUUGGAUUUUAACUUUGAUUCCCUCAUCUCAGCCCAGAAUGUUGUCAGUCUGAAUGUGGGGAACUUCACUGGUGCUAAACAGGCUUCAUCACAGAGCUGGGUACCAGGCUGAAGGAUCUUUGAGAACAGGGGAAAUGGGCAAACAGGCUGUACCCUCGGAGGAAAGGAACUGACACCUCCAUGUGAAGGAUUCACGUUUCGCAGGACAGAUUUAUUAACCAGACAGUCCUCCAUGGCGGAUUACUGUCCAGUCAUCUGUGGAAGCCUCUUCCUCUCUCUCUGACAACUGGACCGGCUGCUCCUGGGUGCCUCUGGUAUCAGGUGCAAGCGGAGAUGAUUUCUGCUGAGCUUGUUCGUAACACAUAGCUCCUCGUCCGUUAAAUAACGCUGCCUGAGAGUCUGCUUCCGUGUGAGCGUCUCUUAUUUUGAUAGGAGCGUCUCGCAUGAAGUAGGAUGUAAUCAUUCUGCAUUGUUUUCUCAGUUAUUUUCUCCACUUCACUGUAGCAAUAGGGGCUCCUGAAUUAAAAUCUUCUCUUGGCAGUUUUCAUGACCUCAAUAGAGUCUUUACAGAAUCGAAGGCCCUCAAACUGACAUGAGACAUAGAGAGCGAGCGAACCCUUUGCCAAAUCUGCUGUCAGCAAGUGGACAGUGAUACUGUUUACAGCUUAUGAUCUUUGUGAACCCUGCAGUUUUUUCCUAAUGAAGCAGACUGUUAAAAAGCCCCUUACCUGAGUGAACAUCCUCUUUUUUCUUUUUUCUUUUUGUUUUUUUGGAGUUGAACUCAUUCUAAAGUAUCCAAAAUCUUCCUUUUCUGGGAUGGCCAAACACCUGCUGUGGAGACGAUGUUCAGCACCAUCCUGUUGAGAACACACUGUGUAGCCUUUGCAGUAGUUAUUUGUCAAUGAGUAUGUGGUGUUUCAAUAUAUUAAUGGUUUAUGGGAUGUUUUAAGUUGGCUUUUUAUUUUUGGAGGUGUUCCCUGUCUGCCCACCCUUCCCCCCCCCCCCCAACCUCCAGUUUGAUUGCCUUAGAUUUUUGACCAUUUUUGCUUUCUCUCCCUGGGGAAUCUGAAGUGUACAGCAUAUGCGCAAGAAAACCUUAUCCUGAUUAUCAUAACCCUACAUUGCUCUGGCACGAGCUUUUCUGACUAUACAGCAUUCAUUAUACCAAUCAACUGACUGACUUCCAGAGAGAGGUGACGUGUGUGCUCUGUUUGUUGGGUUUGUGUUUGUUUGUUUGUUUUUUACUCUUUUCUUUAAAUUUAAUGGUACGCCCCUGUUUCCCGUAAGCAUCAAACCAGGGCUGAGCACAAAACAAGGGCAACCAGCAAGUUUGCCUCUUGGCCCGUGCUCGCGAGGACCGGCUGAGUGAGGAGGCCGUUUCCCUGACGUUUACAGACGCGGGACCUGGUUCGCCGCUGGCCGGAGCGGUCUCACCUCUUGCAUUAUGUUUGCAGGGCUGCCCUUGCUGCCACAGUGAGUACAGUUAGGCUGCCUCAGUUGUCUGGGAAGAAGUUAUAGGCUGAGGUGCCCCUCUGAUGCCAGACAAGAUGAACAUAACCACCCAUAAAGAUCUGUUUAAAAAUGUGAGGAUGAAGGAAAGGAAAAUACGCUGCUUGGCAGAAAAGAGCAGCUUUCAGGCUGGUCAUUAGCAAGUAGCUUAACAGUGGCAGUGCCGGGAGUUCAGGCACAGAUCGUUGCAGGGUGUGUUAUUGCAUCAGUGUUUUUUUUUUUUUUUUUUUUGACAUAUCCUUCAUUAUUUUUUCCUUCUCAUUAUGCAUAAUCCAUUGUGGAAGAAGCAGGAGAGGGAAUGGCAAGGUGACAGUAUCGUACAAAUGGCUUUUCAUAUGAGCAUAGAUUGUGACAAGAUAAAUGACACUGAAAGACAAGGCAGUUUUAUAUAUUUUGCUUCUAAGAUUUUCUUUUGUAAAAUGAAUGAUAAUGAAUUAAUAAUAAUGAAUAAAAGGUAUGGUGCUGUAUAGAUCCUCUCUAUAAUCUGGAAAGUUUGAUUACUUUUUAUUAGUAUCUUUUGGGGGGGGGGGAGGGAUAUGAAAAAAGAGGCGAAAAACACCAAUGGCACAUAUGAACUUGGUAUGAAGAAGUUCUGAAUAGGACAGUGUAUACAUAAUUCUCCAAAGCGAUAUAUGAAGUUUUUUUCUUUGCAUAAAAGCAUUAUGCAUAUAAAUAUAUAAAUAUAUUUUAUUAUGUACAGAAAUGGCUCAUUAUGCAUGGGUGUUAGGAAAACAAACUAGCAUUUUAACCCAAAGUUUCAGUGCAUGAGUUCCCACUGAUACGUGUUACCAUGCAAUGUGGAGUGACUCCCUUUCGCCACGGCCACCACACAUGCGCACACGCGCAGUCACGCGCACAGACACAGCACAAGCAUUUGUGGGCCCUACCUAGCUCCUUACUUGCCAGGUCCCUGAGGUGAUAUUGGUGAAAUAACAGCUCCUUGUGUGAUGGAAGUUUUGUUUUGUGUUGUGACUUCCUCAUGCUCCCGCUGUUCCCCGGUGAAGAUGCACCUCUUGGUUGCACCACGCAGUUAUGGCUGUGCAAGCUCUGUGCGGUUGUGGUUAUCAUAGCCCUGUAGCCUUCCAACUCUUUCAAGCCGCUAAGGGUUUAUCAUUUUCCUUUUAAAAAAACUUCUCUCUUUCUUUUUACGUCAAGGCAGUCUAUUGGUCGGUAUGGGGACUAGUUUAUUAUAUGUUUAUCAGAGUUAGCAGAGGCUCAUUGCCGAUCUCCAUGUGUGGGGAGAUAUUUCCGGUAGCCAGCCAUCCCAGACAGCUGGGAUGUACAGCGGUCAUCCGUGGUUGUCAGGUCCCUGGUAUACCUUGAAACAUGAAUUACGCUGACAGCCUUUCCCCCACUGGCUCAUGCCCCACGUUUUGGCCAGCCUCGCUCAGCUGGGAUGGGGCGCUGCCCUUGUGCCACCACUGCAGAGCUGGCGACCGCCUGCCCAGAGACUGCCACCAAGACCUCUCUGUAAUCUGCCUGGCUCCAGCCUGGCCUGAUGGUGUGACAAAAAUCCAUCGUCUUAUUUUUGUUCUCGAUAGGGAAGCAGUCCUUGUCGCAUGCAGGGUGGUCAGUUUAAACGUAGCUGGGCGGUUUCUGCUCCAUUAGUGUGGCGUAGCUCCACUGAAGCCCAUGGAGCUAACUCACGCUGGUGUCAAUGAGAGGGAAAAAUAUGGUCUGCUCUGCUCAGAAAAUGGAGGAAAGAAAAUGAUUUGGAGACAACCAGUCAAUGGCAGAGAAGUUUUUUUAAAAAAAGCGUUAGCAGCUGAAAGGCCUAAUCUACCUCCCAGCAAUGUUGAGGAAAGCAUUUUCCUUGGCUUGUCUAGGACAGAUUGGGCCCCUUCUUUUGAGGAUAUCCCCUGCACUAGCUGGAGAGGGGUGGACUUGGACAACCUCUUCAGUUUGCUUUGGUUUCUCUCUUGCUCAUUCUUGUGGCCAAAAUUUUCAAACUGAAGUGCCUCAUGCCAGGCACCCAAGGCUGGGACCUUGAAAUGGUCUCGCAGGGCGAGCUGCUCUGCCGUCGUUGCUUUUUCAGGGAAGGCCCACUGCUUGCCAGAGGCCCACUGGAAGAUCACUGCCCUACAUGGGCAUUUAGGUAUCUAAAAAUUGCCCUCUUCUUCAGAGGCACUGGGUAAAUACAUCUCCCUGCAUUCAAAGGGUCACUUAUUUCUGUGUCAAAAUACAUAUUGAAAUGGCUGAUUUGGGGAACCUACCUUUUGAAAACUUUGGCCUUUGAGUCUUUGAACAUCUUUGUGCAUAGAAAUUUUCCUUCUGAAGUCAUGUAAAACAGAUACAGGUCCAGAACAAUUACACAGGUAUUGCUUAAACCCUUUGUCUAAAAAAAGUUCUAAAAAAGAUGACAUUUAUAUAGUUCCUACAGUCACGGGUUUGGGGUUUUAUUUAAUAAUUUUGUGAAUUUUUUCUCUUGAGAAUAAUUAGUUAGUUGGCCACUGCCUAAUUCCAGAAAUAUUUGUGCCACUGCUCCAAAAAGCUACCUUUUAGGUCAUGUAUUUCUCUAAAGUGAUGUCAUUGCUUGGCAAUCAAUGUCCUGUAAUUGUUUUUUAGUACACAGUAUCCAUUAGGAAUGCCAACAGAUGUGAAGGGGGACCAGAUACACUUUGUUACUAUGGGUUGGAAGAAUGGAUUGUACAUUUGGCUUCACAUGUUUAACUUUUUUUUAAAAAGUUGCAUGAUUGAAAAAAAUAUGUAUACAGUAUCUGUAAAGCUGUUUUAUCUGUUUUUGUUUCAAGACAUGUAAAUUGGAAGAAUUUUAAAUCCACAGCCUUAUCACGCAUGGCCAUCUUUACAUACCGAAGAGCUGAACAAUUUAUACUUUUCAUUUGGGCUAUCUUGUACUUUCAUUUGAAAGCAGACACUCUCAUGUUGCAUUCUUACGGAGGAUUUUAUAAAAAAAAAAAAAAAAAAAGAUGCUGCCCUGGAUGAAUAUACUACCUUACUACACAGAGAUUGGAAGCAAGUUUGUUUUUGUUUUGGAGCUCUGCCCCUUUCCAAGCGAAGUUGAGACGCAGUGCUUACUCCACUUGGUGUUAGUAGAUAUUGCCUUGUGUAUUCCAUUUUAAAUUGUAAUCUAGUUUGUAAAAGAGAUGGUGACGCAUGUAAAUAAAGCAUAAUGGAUCUCUACAUUGCA